UUGAACGCUGGCGGAAUGCUUUACACAUGCAAGUCGAGCGGCAGCGCGGGGGCAACCCUGGCGGCGAGCGGCGAACGGGUGAGUAACAUAUCGGAACGUACCCUGUCGUGGGGGAUAACACAGCGAAAGCUGUGCUAAUACCGCAUACGACCUGAGGGUGAAAGCAGGGGAUCGCAAGACCUUGCGCUUUAGGAGCGGCCGAUGUCGGAUUAGCUAGUUGGUGAGGUAAAGGCUCACCAAGGCGACGAUCCGUAGCGGGUCUGAGAGGAUGAUCCGCCACACUGGGACUGAGACACGGCCCAGACUCCUACGGGAGGCAGCAGUGGGGAAUUUUGGACAAUGGGCGCAAGCCUGAUCCAGCCAUGCCGCGUGAGUGAAGAAGGCCUUCGGGUUGUAAAGCUCUUUCGGCGGGGAAGAAAUCGCACGGGUUAAUACCUCGUGUGGAUGACGGUACCCGAAUAAGAAGCACCGGCUAACUACGU
rnacentral:rRNA from 1 species